CUUGCCACAUUAAUCAGAGGGGGUAUGGUGUAGAGAAUGGAGAGCCUGCUGCAGAGACCAGAAGACUUAGAUUCUAGUCCACUUCUGAUACACAUUAACUUUGUGACACUGGUAGAUGCCAAAGAUGAUGACUGUAAUGACUGCCAAACAUGCCAGGAGGAGUGGAAAGAUUAUACUUUAUGAGAAAACUAAAGCCUCAAUAGAGGCAGAAACAGAAGCAACAUAAUCAUCAGAAUAUUCUACAGACUGGCACAAUAAAUGUAAUGGACUUCUCUACUAGCAGCAAUGCAAUGAUCCAGGACAAUUCUGAGGGACUUAUGAGAAAGAACUUUAUCCAUGUCUGGAGAAAGAACUUGGGAAUAGAAACACAGAAGAAAAACACCUCCUUGAUCAUAGGGGUUGAUAGGGAUAUAAUUGGGGAUAUAGACUCUAAGCAAUCACCCUAAUGCAAAUAUUAAUAAUAUGGAAAUAGCUCUUGAUCAAUGACACAUGCAAUUGUGGAAUUGCUUUUUGGCUAUGGGGGAUGGGGGAAGGAGGGGAGGGAAAGAAUAUGAAUCAUAUAAGCAUGGAAAAAUAUU